rnacentral:snRNA from 1 species
GUGCUCGCUUCGGCAGCACGUGUACUAAAAUUGGAACAACGCAGAGAAGAUGAGCAUGGCCCCAGCACAAGGAUGACACGUAAAUUCGUGAUGCAUUCCAUAUUAAA